CUGUAUGCAUAACGAAUUUGAAGGAGGCAAACUUGGAGGCUCUGCUGACUGGGAUGGAGUAUAAAAUUCAGUAACAACAUGGUGGAGGUUUUCAUUCGACGGCUCGCUGUCGGUGAAGACAUAGCUCCGUCAUGCUAAUUAGUACGCGCUAAUUAACGAGUGACGCGUCGACUGCCGGUCAGUGGUCCACUGAGACUCGUCCGCGAGUGCUUGGAGGAUAGUUAUGGAAAUGAGUUGCGAAUUUGUGGCCGCGAGUGGCGAAUGAAGUGCAAUUUUGUUGAGUGCUUUGUGCAAUGGAGCGCUCGCGAGAUGGAGUUGCGGUGUGGGCGGCCAUCUUGCGACGUGUGGCGACUGGCGAUCCACUGGCGGUAUUGUUCUUGCUGACGUAGAUGAGUGAAAACAUCAAGAAGAAGCCACUCCUAGCGUGAUUUGCUGUCGGACGCGGGGGUGAACCAUCGCCCCCGCGUCCCGUGAACAAUUCUGCACUGUACUUCAGUUUAGAGAUGCCUCACGCGAUGUUUUCUCCACCUCAUGCCGCCCUGGCCGCCGGCGUAGCGUCCGCCACGCCGCUCGGUCGCACCGGCAUCGUCAGCUGCCGCUGGCUCCGCUCCCAGCGAGCGGCGCACAGAGGGCCCGCUUCAUUUAUACUUAGAUAUUAACACUUUUUCCUGAACAUGAUAAAAUUAGUUAUACCUAACAUAAUGCACCUACAUCACAUUAUGUUAAAUACUUGUUACACUUAAUAAUAUAGUUUAAUUACGAAUUCACUUCAUUAAAAACUUUUUUAAAACGUACACAUAAACCCGAACAUGAUGCAUAAUAUUAAGUUUAGUAAAAUAGUUUUUAAUUUUUUUAUUUUUAUAUUUAGGAACAAAGUAACUUUUGUUGUUUAGUUAUACGUAUAACUGUACUACACGCUGUUACUGAAAAUUACACUUUGAUAUUGCUGUUACUUAUUCAUUUGGUGAAUGAUUGUUUGCGACAAUAAAUUGCGAUAACUUCUUCAUUCAUAACUCUUCAAUCACAUCCAUGGUUAAAAUGAUAUUGUUGGUUCAUUUUGAUGCUACGAAACACAUUGAAUGUUUCGUUCGAGAUAGUAGCGUAGAAUAAGUUUUUGUUUUUGUGUUACAGAUUGCACACUUUUGCUUAUAUUUUUGUUUUUUUUUUAUAGUUCUACAAGUUUUUUUUUGCCCAGCUACUGGUAUAUUAUGUUAGUUGUUAGUUUCUACUAGUUUUAAUUUUACUUUUUGUUUUUUUGUAGGACGUUCGCAUCUUUGAAUAGCAACGGAUUACUUUUUUGUGUGACAAAUUUUAUUAAGUUAAUUUUUGUUAUACUUAUUAUAGAUCGUAAGUGCCUUUCGCAAUUAGCUUAUACCCAACACAGCUAAUUGUUCACUCAUUUUUUUUCAAGCCGCUAAUAAACUUUUCAUAUAUUAA